rnacentral:rRNA from 1 species
CCUACGGGUGGCAGCAGUGGGGAAUAUUGCACAAUGGGGGAAACCCUGAUGCAGCGACGCCGCGUGAAGGAAGAAGUAUUUCGGUAUGUAAACUUCUAUCAGCAGGGAAGAAAAUGACGGUACCUGACUAAGAAGCCCCGGCUAACUACGUGCCAGCAGCCGCGGUAAUCCGUAGGGGGCAAGCGUUAUCCGGAUUUACUGGGUGUAAAGGGGGCGUAGGCGGUUUAGCAAGUCAGAAGUGAAAGCCCGGGGGUCAACUCCGGGACUGCUUUUGAAACUGUUGAACUAGAUUGCAGGAGAGGUAAGUGGAAUUCCUAGUGUAGCGGUGAAAUGCGUAGAUAUUAGGAGGAACACCAGUGGCGAAGGCGGCUUACUGGACUGUAAAUGACGCUGAGGCUCGAAAGCGUGGGGAGCAAACAGGAUUAGAUACCCGGGUAGUC